RCGAAUUYUAAGCCAUGCAAGUCAGGGGGGUAGCAAUACCACCGGCGACAUGCUCAGUAACACGUCGUUAAUCUGCCCUUAAGACUGGAAUAAACCUUGGGAAACUGAGGCUAAUGCCGGAUAGAAUAUUAUUGCUGGAAUGCAUUUUAUUUGAAARGUAACACUUAAGGAUGAGUCGGCGCCGGAUUAGGUUGUUGGUGGGGUAACGGCCCACCAAGCCAAAGAUCCGUACGGGCCAUGAGAGUGGUAGCCCGGAGAAGGACACUGAGAAACUGGUCCUAGCCCCUACGGGGUGCAGCAGGCGCGAAAAACUUUACAAUGCACGAAAGUGUGAUAAGGGAAUCCUAAGUGCUAAUACACAGUAUUGGCUUUUGCCAAGGGUAAAUACCUUGGAGAAUAAGUGGUGGGUAAGACUGGUGCCAGCAGCCGCGGUAACCCCAGCGCCACGAGUGGGAACCACAAUUAUUUGGCCUAAAGCGUCCGUAGCUGGCUUUGUAAAUCUUUUGUGAAAUCGGAAAGCUUAACUUUCCGGCGUGCAGAAGACACUGCAUUGCUUGAGACCGGGAGGGGUAAGGAGUAUUUCCAGGGAACCGGUAAAAUGGGAUAAUCCUGGAAGGACUACCUGUGGCGAAGGCGCCUUACCAGAACGGGUCUGACAGUGAGGGGACGAAGGCUAGGGGAGCGAACCGGAUUAGAUACCCGAGUAGUCCUAGCAGUAAACUCUGCGGGCUAGGUGUUGCAUCAUCCAUGUGAUUAUGCAGUGUCGUAGCGAAGGCAAUAAGCCCGCCGCCUGGGAAGUAUGGUCGCAAGACUGAAACUUAAAGGAAUUGGCGGGGGAGCACCACAAGGGGUGCGGCGUGCGGUUUAWUCCAACUCAACGCGGUGGAAUCUUCACCAGAAGCGACGGCAGUAUGAAGCUCAGUCUAAAGGGCUUAGCUAACGAGCCGGRGAGGUGGGUGCAUGGCCAAUCU
rnacentral:rRNA from 1 species